AUGCGUGGUCCGCAUCAUACUACACCCAACAAGAACAAGCAUCAGGAACCCAACCUAGCUAGCUACGGAUCGAAAUCGAAAUCUUACAGAUCAAGCCGGCGGCGACUAACUGCACUCCAUCUCAGGGAGCGCCUCUCCGGCAUUACGGAGCACAGGGCCACCUCCGCCACGGCCGCUGGCAGAACCAUCCCCUCACCUCUCCGGCAUCUUUCUCUCCUGGCCGGAGAGACGCCUUACGUCCGAGAUGCACAAUCUGAACAAUCUUCAGCACGAAAGAGAACAAGACUGGACUUGGUGACAGUCAACCGAGUUGAAAAUAGAAGAGCCAUAGCAGAGCAGCAACCGGGUUUCGGUGGCCGUCGGAUCUGCGCUGCGAUCCGUGCGAGCACACGUGCCGCUAAUACGCGGGAACCAGCUUUCGAAGAACUGAUCAUACUUUAUUCCGAGGAUUCUGCUCAAAGUAAUGAGAAGGAGAGUUCUGAGAUGCAGAUGCUGCCGCCGCAGUUGAAAAUUUACGAGAAAAUACCCAUCCCAGAUCUGCCAGUAAGGCUUGAUAUAGCCACCGUUAUAGGAUUGUUGGCAUAUGUUGUCAACUACAAAUUUGAGAGUUUAGCCUCACUCCGUAAGUCAGCUUUCCUUCUUGAUCUAGCUGCUUUUACUGCACUUGCAAUACUCGUGUUCCGUGUGACUCUGGGAUACAAACAGACCAGAGAUUACCAGGAAACCAAGGUUUUUUAUGUACUUCUCAGUGCGACAGAAGAUAGUUUGUUUGACAUCAAUACCUCUUCCCAGCUUCUGGUCAAUAAGACGCUGUACGAGAAGACGUUAGCAAGUGGCUUUGGUUCAGUUUACUUUCUUCUCGAUGCUUCCGAGCAACAACAGUAUAAAGAAGCACUCCUGGCAUAUGCUAUGUUACUUGGCAGAAAUAAGAUUGAAAUGCUUAUCGACAAAGCUAUGGAGACACUGCUGCGGUUGGGUCUGGUGGUCGAGCUGUCAACAAACGGCAGCUCCUCCUCUGUAAUAGCUCUUCCCUGUCCAGACGCUUAUGAGAUCCUAUGUACACUGGAGAAGUUGAAGGGAAAAUACACCACUGCAUUUCCAAAAAGAAUAGAUGCUUCUGGAUUUCGAACCUUGAGCCAACGAAGUUGCCCAGCCCAAGCCCAGCUGCUCUCUAAUGGACUGGAAGGUAAUCUUCAACUGAUGCCCUCCCUGGAUAGAUCGAGUGCAUGGAAAUUUACUGCCAGCAACUUGCAGCAAAUGAUCAUCAAAAGAAGAGAUGAUCCCUGGUUUCUAGCUGUAAAUUUCCUGACAAAACACCCGAUGCAGCUCUUCUGA
rnacentral:rRNA from 1 species